rnacentral:rRNA from 1 species
AGUGAACGCUGGCGGUAGGCCUAACACAUGCAAGUCGAACGGCAGCACAGUAAGGGCUUGCUCUUACGGGUGGCGAGUGGCGGACGGGUGAGGAAUACAUCGGAAUCUACUUUUUCGUGGGGGAUAACGUAGGGAAGCUUACGCUAAUACCGCAUACGACCUACGGGUGAAAGCAGGGGAUCUUCGGACCUUGCGCGAUUGAAUGAGCCGAUGUCGGAUUAGCUAGUUGGCGGGGUAAAGGCCCACCAAGGCGACGAUCCGUAGCUGGUCUGAGAGGAUGAUCAGCCACACUGGAACUGAGACACGGACCAGACUCCUACGGGAGGCAGCAGUGGGGAAUAUUGGACAAUGGGCGCAAGCCUGAUCCAGCCAUACCGCGUGGGUGAAGAAGGCCUUCGGGUUGUAAAGCCCUUUUGUUGGGAAAGAAAAGCAGCAGGUUAAUACCCCGCUGUUCUGACGGUACCCAAAGAAUAAGCACCGGCUAACUUCGUG